UACGUAGGGGUCGAGCGUUGUCCGGAGUUACUGGGCGUAAAGCGUGCGCAGGCGGCUCAUCGCGCUCGGCGUGAAAGCCCCCGGCUCAACCGGGGAGGGUCGUCGAGGACGGGUGAGCUUGAGGGUAUCAGGGGUUGGUGGAAUUCCCGGUGUAGUGGUGAAAUGCGUAGAGAUCGGGAGGAACACCUGUGGCGAAAGCGGCUCACUGGACCAUUACUGACGCUGAUGUACGAAAGCUAGGGGAGCAAACAGG
rnacentral:rRNA from 1 species